GGGGCCGUAGUUCACUCGGGAGAACGCUUGAUUUGCAUUCAAGAGGUAACGGGUUCGAAUCCCGUCGGCUCCACCA
rnacentral:tRNA from 1 species